ensembl:miRNA Gm56471 predicted gene, 44455
CAGCAUUUAGAGCAUGGAUUGGCACCUAGUAGGUACUUAGGACAUGUUUGUUGGUUCAUUGAGUUGACGUCAUUGGAGCUGA